UUUUACUCGGUGGUAGAAACAAAAACUUGAGCAAGGUCGAGAUAAAUUAACUUGGCUGCAGUGUUAAAGAUGAGCUUUGUGCAGUGGCCAAUUGCUGGCUGGCUUGAGGCGUGUGUCUGAGGGUCUCUAACCAAUUGUAUGACUGUUUCAGGUG